UGGUGCUCAUGAUUGAUUUGCAAGGCAUUGCAACAAUGUUUUUAAUAACCAAACAAACCAAAAAAAAAAGUAGUAGUGAACCUAAACUUGACCCUUGUCUAAGCAAAAACACACUGCAAGUUUCUCUCUCUAGACUUGGUGUUUCUCUCUCCUAACUUGCUUAAAUUGUUGAACAUGUCUUGAGCACUCACCCUCUCCUCCAAAUGGGGUGGCUGCAAUCCCUCAUCUCCCCCUUCAAGAAGCUGUGGAUUCGUCUCAAUUCAGCUCAGAAGAAGAGUAGAGGGAUAUACAUUUUGUACGAGGAUGUGAAAUCGUGCCCUUACGAAGACGUGCACGUGCUUUGGUCGAUAUUGGUGGAGUCGCAUCGGCAGCCGCCGCCGCUGCCGCUGCCGGUGCCAUCGCCGCCGUCGUCGCCGCCGAAAUGAUGACUCCAUUAGCAAGGAAGAAUCAAAGAGAUGAAAAGUGACAUACAUACAUACAUGUACAUAAGAUAGAAACUUUUUUUUCUUUUUCUUUUUUUGAUUACGUUUUGUUUUUUCACAUUUCACAUUAUGGGGCUUUCAAUUUUUUUUCGAGUGAGGUAAACAUAAUACAGAAUGUCUAUAAAUUAUUGAAAUUCAUAGAGUGAAA